CCUACGGGAGGCAGCAGUGAGGAAUAUUGGUCAAUGGACGAGAGUCUGAACCAGCCAAGUCGCGUGAAGGAUGACUGCCCUAUGGGUUGUAAACCUCUUUUAUAAAGGAAUAAAACGAGGCACGCGUGCCUUUUUGCAUGUACUUUAUGAAUAAGGAUCGGCUAACUCCGUGCCAGCAGCCGCGGUAAUACGGAGGAUCCGAGCGUUAUCCGGAUUUAUUGGGGUUAAAGGGGGCGUAGGGGGGAUGUUAAGUCAGUUGUUAAAGUUUGCGGCUCAACCGUCAAAUUGCAGUUGAUACUGGCAGUCUUGAGUGCAGUUGAAGUAGGCGGAAUGCGUGGUGUAGCGGUGAAAUGCUUAGAUAUCACGAAGAACCCCGAUUGCGAAGGCAGCUUAC
rnacentral:rRNA from 1 species